ACUCUUGAGGAGGUGAGCUACCUA
rnacentral:siRNA from 1 species